rnacentral:rRNA from 1 species
UACAGAGGGUGCGAACGUUGCUCGGAAUUACUGGGCGUAAAGCGCGUGUAGGCGGUCUGUUAAGUUGGUAGUGAAAUCCCAUGGCUCAACCAUGGAAGUGCUGCCAAAACUGGCAGGCUGGAGUGCCGGAGAGGGUGGCGGAAUUCCCAGUGUAGAGGUGAAAUUCGUAGAUAUUGGGAGGAACACCGGUGGCGAAGGCGGCCACCUGGACGGUAACUGACGCUAAGACGCGAAAGCGUGGGGAGCAAACGGG